GAGUGUAUAGCUUAGUGGUAAAGCAUUCGACUGCAGAUUGAGAGGUCUCCGGUUCGAACCCGGGUGUCCUGUUCU